GCAUCUUUCCAAGAAUCCAAACAAACACAAAAAGCAGAAAACAAGAGAAAUCAAUUUUUGCUACACUCUUUUUUCUUCGCUAGGCUACAAUAUUGCUCACAUUUGAGGGGAGAAGACUACAGUGAGAGAGAGGAUGUAGUUAUGUGUCAAGAACCCAUCUCUCGGUUAUCUCCGCUCAAAAGAAAGCCUUCCAUUUCUUUCCAUCUGGGAAACAACUGAAAGCCCUUUCUGUUGUCAGUCGUCAAUAGGAUAACCGCGAUCGAACUACUAUUCCUGCCUGCAAGCUAGUGAAUUUAUGUGUACACUAAGAAGGGUGAAAGUUCUAGGUAGCCAAUACUUGAAUAGUCAUUAGGUAUCGACAUUUACCCAGGAGAAUUGAGGAAGUGAUUUUCCGAGUCCGGACGGAAAGAAAUUGCUUUUCCUACAAUCAUGACGAGGAACGAUGACCACUGUUUGAACUUAUCGAUCCCAGAUGAAAUUGCAGAGAAUUUGAAUGAGUUUUUUCCUGAUUUUGGGGACCUGAGUCAUGAAGAGGUCUUGCAACACCAGUUAAGUGUUUACCAAUCACUUAAAGGAAAUGACAGUAAUAAGGAGAGAAAAUCUGAUCAUGGCCAAAGCAGUGAUAGUAGUCAGGGCUCUAGGCAAGACUGUGAGUCUUCAAGGCGUGCAAGUUUUGAUUCACAACUGGCUUUGGACGAAGCUCUGGCUUGGUCCUUGCAGGAUUUGGAGGACGGAUUUGAUGAUUUUAACAUAUCUUAAUCCACCAGUGCUGCCACCGAGAAUAGAGAGGUUAGUUCUCUAGAAACUCCUACCACGUCAAUAAAUCAGACUACAAGUGAAGAUGCUAUAGAUCCAGAUAAUAUGACUUAUGAGCAAUUACAAUCGUUGGGGGAAUCAGUUGGCGUUGAGAACAAAGGACUGUCAGAAGGCCUCUUAGCUAGACUGCCAAAGUUCAAGUACAGAACGGGCAUAUUUUCGAAGAAGAAAAUUAAAGAAGAGUGUGCGAUAUGUUUCAUGAUGGUCCAAAGUGGCGAGUAUUUGACAAUUCUGCCUUGUGCACACCGAUAUCAUUCAAAAUGUAUUACUCGUUGGUUGAAGCUCAGCAAAAACUGCCCGAUAUGCCAAAAGGAGGUGACUGAAGACUAAUCGAAGGAUGCUCGCAUUACAUCCCUGCCACUGGUUCUUAUUCUGCUUGUACAUAUUGAAUUGUUCUUUCUUGUUAGAAGAUGGAAGUAGUACCUCCUUGUGGAGGGAUUAAACAUGCGAUAUUAAGAAAUUCUUAGUUUCUUUUUGGCUAUAAAGAAGGCAGAAUUUGACAUGACCCUUGCAUCUGAAAAGUCUUAGGAGUAUUUGGAUAUGUUGGUUUUUUCUUUUAAUUUUCAUUUUAUUUGUAAAUCAUUGUCGUGUGAUGAAAAUUGACUUAUAGAAUUAAUACCAGCUUUUUUCUCAAAAGCUCAUGAGACGAUUUCCGGCA